GUGGGGAAUAUUGGGCAAUGGGGGCAACCCUGACCCAGCGACGCCGCGUGAGGGAAGAAGGCCUUAGGGUCGUAAACCUCUGUUGUGUGGGAAGAAGGAAGUGACGGUACCACACGAGGAAGUCCCGGCUAACUACGUGCCAGCAGCCGCGGUAAUACGUAGGGGACGAGCGUUGUCCGGAAUUACUGGGCGUAAAGGGCGCGUAGGCGGUCAUUUAAGUCAGCUGUGAAAUGGUCCGGCUCAACCGGAUGAUGCGGUUGAAACUGGGUGACUGGAGUGCUGGAGAGGCAAGUGGAAUUCCCAGUGUAGCGGUGAAAUGCGUAGAUAUUGGGAAGAACACCGGUGGCGAAGGCGACUUGCUGGCCAGCAACUGACGCUGAGGCGCGAAAGCCAGGGGAGCAAACGGGAUUAGAUACCCGAGUAGUCC
rnacentral:rRNA from 1 species